AAUAGAUACCCAGGUAGUCCACGCCCUAAACGAUGUCUACUAGUUGUCGGGUCUUAAUUGACUUGGUAACGCAGCUAACGCGUGAAGUAGACCGCCUGGGGAGUACGGUCGCAAGAUUAAAACUCAAAGGAAUUGACGGGGACCCGCACAAGCGGUGGAUGAUGUGGAUUAAUUCGAUGCAACGCGAAAAACCUUACCUACCCUUGACAUGUCAGGAAUCCUGGAGAGAUCCGGGAGUGCCCGAAAGGGAGCCUGAACACAGGUGCUGCAUGGCUGCCGUCAGCUCGUGUCGUGAGAUGUUGGGUUAAGUCCCGCAACGAGCGCAACCCUUGUCAUUAGUUGCUACGCAAGAGCACUCUAAUGAGACUGCCGGUGACAAACCGGAGGAAGGUGGGGAUGACGUCAAGUCCUCAUGGCCCUUAUGGGUAGGGCUUCACACGUCAUACAAUGGUACAUACAGAGGGCCGCCAACCCGCGGAGGGGAGCUAAUCCCAGAAAGUGUAUCGUAGUCCGGAUCGCAGU
rnacentral:rRNA from 1 species